UGGCUUGUUUGGAGGUAUGGUUUUCGUUUUCUCGCCUCGUCGAUGUGUCGGGGGGGCUAGGAAAACAUUUGUGUUACCGCCGCGGCCGCUACAAAGGAUUCCGCUGCUCCUUUCGGAGGCACCCGCCGGCCCGCACCGCCGACGACGCCGACCGGCACGAGACCCGCGCCUUCCCCUCGCGCCGCGUCUCGGAGGCGGACGAGUUCUGCGACGCCGUGUCGGCGCAGCCGCCGGAGCCGGAGCCGCCGGCCGCGUUGCUGGCCGACGUGAUGCCGCUCGCCCUCAAGAGGUAGCUGCUCUGCGGCCGCAAGGCCAAGGCGUGGGGGAGGCGCGCGCACGAGGCCAAGUAAGGGACGUAGCGCGGGAGGCAGGGCCUGUGGGGGCCGCAGAUGCCGCUGCUGGCGAUGAAGAAGGCGCUGCUGGCGCUCUCCCUGCGCUCGACGCGGCCCCUGAACAUGCUACUGGUCGGCUCGCUCACGCCGGACCUCUCGGAGCUGCUACCGCGCCUACUCGUCGACGAGCUCGCGCGCUACUACCUCCGCUCGCAGCCGAGCCGCCCUCGGCGCCUCCCGCCGCUCCUACGGCCCCACCUGCACUUCCGCCUGCUCAAGUAGCGUUUCAAGAUGCGCGUCUACUUCGACGUUGCCGUUUAGAGCACCGACGUUAUGUUGCUCUACUACCUUUCCUCGCAGACGAUCUUGUUGUCACAGCAAACGAGUUAGAACUCAAAACUAAGUAGCUACAGUUAACGUUCAAUCUAUGUGUUUUACGUCUUUGGCAUCAACAGUGUACAUAUAUACACGUAUAUAAAGAUAACUAAAGAGUUAAAG
rnacentral:rRNA from 1 species